CUUUCCCUACGCACCCCAACCCCCAGCGACAAGGGGUCGUGGCUCUCCAGGGCAGAGAAGGAGGCAGGGGUGAGGGGCGCUGGGGUGACUUUGCAAGACUUUGCCCAGGGGAAGGGGCGGGUGGGGAUCCCCUUCAGCCGGCUCUUGUACCCCGACACCGGGGUGUGUGUGCUUCCGGCAGAGGUAGGCAGUGUUCGCUUAGGCUCAGGGUGCCAAGGGGUGCCCGGGAUGAGAAAACCAAGGCAAGAGGUUUGUUGGAUGGGGGGAGCGGCGCCCCCUUUUUCAUCUUUGCCUGGGAAGUUUAUCUCAAGUGCGCUGCUCCAGGCGCGGCAAGUGGCGCUUCUCGCGCUCUCCCCCACCCCCCAGCCUCCCCGGGCGCAGGCUGGCAACGCUGGGCACCGGCACAGAGAGUCAAAGCACCGACUCAAAGCCGCUGGGCUGUUGGCCGAAGCCCGCCUGGGUCUGGGAAAAAGUUCCGGGGAGUUGCGGCGGUUGUUGUGUGCGCGGGGAGAGAAGUUGCGCCCGGGGACGUGGGACGCUGGCCGGGCAGGCCAGCUGGCGGGUGGAGCGAUGCGAUCCCGGGGGCUUCUGCAGCGGUGGGAGAGGGUCUGGAAGGGUCUGUGCCCCAAGGCACACAGACCUUGGUGACAGAAGACAAAGAUCCCAUUGGCCCUUCCAGGUGCCCUGGCCACCAACCCCUCCUUCACAGGGGGGUCCUGCAACUCCCAGGUGGUGCGUGUUGGAAUGGACUUCAGACCCCAGCCUCUUGGGAUGCAAAGACAAAGUGGACAAGAAACCCCUGCUCUCACCAAGUUCCUGUAGCAGAGGUGACAACCAGCACACCCACAAAACUGAACAAAGACUUGGUGCUGAAUGGAAUGUGCCCGGGUCACUUAAGGCAGGAUGCACAGAGGAGGCCUCUGAGGUGACAGCUGAGAUGAAGGACAGGAAGUGGACAGCCAUCGGAAGAGCAGGCAGGAGAAUAUUCCAGAAAGGGAGAACAGGUAGUUUAAA
rnacentral:lncRNA from 1 species